rnacentral:lncRNA from 12 species
CUCAAUGAACCCCAUUCUUCAGCUGGGCCACCCUCUGUUCUCUUAGUGAGCAUUACAAUGCUAAGGGGGUGAAACAAUUUGUGAGAAGUCUGUUUUCCUGAUUGGAGACCAAAAUGGAAAAAGAACGAUAUCUUUUGUCCUUCACAAUAUGAGUGAUAACACUACUGGAAAGAACAUCAUCUAAUAGAUACAGGAUGCUCUCAAGAGCUACAUGUCAGGAGACUGGACUCUGUUUACUUAGAACAGCUAAGACAGAAGUUCACUUCAGGAACCUGAGAUAUAUUUCCAAGUCUUUUAACCAAGGGGCUGAGAGCUUCAGAAACACAGACAUAUUUCAAGUAGGACAGUAGUUCUAACAUCAGAAGAUGUCACCCAACUUCCUCCAAAAUGCC